AAAGUUUCUUACGAAGAAGGUUUAGCCAAUCACUUCGGCCUCCGGCGGAGGGACGAAUGCGGUAACGCGUGCGUUCUAAGCGUCCGUGCAGGGGGAAGCGUAGGCCAGCUAAUUGAGCUCCGAAAUCAAGUCUUCCAUGUGCCGACCGUGUCAUGUGCGUCGGGAAGGCAACACUGGGAUACACGAUAUGGCAAGUGUGCCCUGGACAUGGCGGAGUCGAAGAACC
rnacentral:ncRNA from 1 species